rnacentral:tRNA from 1 species
AAAAUCCCAAGUCCCUCUAUCCCCA